GGACUACUGGGGUAUCUAAUCCUGUUUGCUCCCCACGCUUUCGCGCCUCAGCGUCAGUUAAGGCCCAGCAGGCCGCCUUCGCCGCCGGUGUUCCUCCAGAUCUCUACGAAUUUCACCUCUACACCUGGAAUUCCACCUGCCUCUGCCUUACUCCAGAUCGGUAGUUCCGAAAGCACGUCCCGGGUUGAGCCCAGGGAUUUCACCCCCGGCUUGCCGAUCCGCCUACACGCCCUUUACGCCCAGUAAAUCCGAACAACGCUUGCACCCUCCGUAUUACCGCGGCUGCUGGCAC
rnacentral:rRNA from 1 species